GUGGUAGUGGUCUUAAUGGUAAGAUACUGUUGGCUGGCCACCACCAAUCCGGAGCAGUCACCCACCAAAUCGGGUGUCGCUCCAACAAUCCGGUGGCACGACCAACAGUGAUGCGGAGUUCGAUUCCCGCCUACCACA